GGAGAGGUGGCAGAGUGGUUGAAUGCGGCAGUCUCGAAAACUGCUAAAGAUUUACGUCUUUCGUGGGUUCAAAUCCCACCCUCUCCG
rnacentral:tRNA from 2 species